rnacentral:lncRNA from 1 species
AGAAAGGGAAGGUAGUGCAAAGAGAGGAGGAAUAAAUACUUACAUAGUGCAUUGUUUUUCUUGCAGAUGCUAUUGGAGUGAUAGUCACCCUAGUACAGCGGACCAGCAUGUACCGACAAAGUUCCAGUCCCAUCUCGGACCAAUGAAAGCUUGAGCAGCACUGGAAUGAUUAGGCCACAGAUUAGCUUCCGGGUGAAGACUUCGAUCUCUCCUUUCACGAAUGAGAGAGCUACCCAGUGCUGCCAAGGGAGAGGCCCCCCUGUUACUGCAGACCUGUUAAACCCAGGGAUAGUCCUGUUCCUCCUGCUGUGAACUUUUCAGUAUGCUGAUGGAGCAGACCUAGUUUGGUCUUCUACUGCAGUUGACAUAGCUGAUGCUUUGAGACUGUUUAAGCUGUCUUCUGCUUUACUCAGCUUUCAUAAGCCUGUCUGGUUCUAACUUAGCAAAGAAAGGAAUCCAGACGCAAAGCUAUUAACAAAUCUUCCAUUUUAAAUUUGAGAGAGGCUUGAACAGGUAAGUUCUCAUUCAGAUUUCAAAUCUUGCAUUAGGACUGUUCCUUAGUGUUCCAGUCCUGCAUAAAACACAAUAUCAGCAAGGAGUGCGUUUUCUAGCAUUUCAUGUUCAGGCAACAUUUCAUGUGUCUUCUCUUAAAAUCUUUUAACAUCCGUUUCUGCUAUGAUCUCU